rnacentral:rRNA from 1 species
UACCAGCACCCCGAGUGGUCGGGACGUUUUAUUGGGCCUAAAGCAUCCGUAGCCGGUUCUACAAGUCUUCCGUUAAAUCCAACUGCUUAACAGGUGGGCUGCGGAAGAUACUAUAGAGCUAGGAGGCGGGGAGAGGCAAGCGGUACUCGAUGGGUAGGGGGUAAAAAUCCGUUGAUCCAUUGAAGACCACCAGUGGCGAAGGCGGCUUGCCAGAACGCGCUCGACGGUGAGGGAUGAAAGCUGGGGGGAGCAAACCGG